rnacentral:rRNA from 1 species
UCCGUGCCAGCAGCCGCGGUAAUACGGAGGGUGCGAGCGUUAAUCGGGAAUUACUGGGCGUAAAGCGCAUGCAGGUGGUUGUUAAGUCAGAUGUGAAAGCCCGGGGCGUCAACCUCGGAAUUGCAUUUUGAAAACUGGCAAACUAGAGUACUGUAGAGGGGGUAGGAAUUUCAGGUGUAGCGGUGAAAUGCGUAGAGAUCUGAAGGAAUACCGGUGGCGAAGGCGGCCCCCUGGACAGAUACUGACACUCAGAUGCGAAAGCGUGGGGAGCAAACAGGAUUAGAUACCCUGGUAG